rnacentral:rRNA from 1 species
GAUGAACGCUGGCGGCGUGCCUAAUACAUGCAAGUCGAGCGAACAGACGAGGAGCUUGCUCCUCUGACGUUAGCGGCGGACGGGUGAGUAACACGUGGAUAACCUACCUAUAAGACUGGGAUAACUUCGGGAAACCGGAGCUAAUACCGGAUAAUAUAUUGAACCGCAUGGUUCAAUAGUGAAAGACGGUUUUGCUGUCACUUAUAGAUGGAUCCGCGCCGCAUUAGCUAGUUGGUAAGGUAACGGCUUACCAAGGCAACGAUGCGUAGCCGACCUGAGAGGGGGGCGGGCCCAAAGGGAAAGAGGCCCCGGUCCAGACUCCGAGGGGGGGCAGCAGUGGGGAAUUUUCCGAAAGGGGGAAAACCCUAAGGGAGCAAGGCGCGGUGGGGGAAGAAGGUUUUGGGAUCUAAAAACUUUGUUAUUAGGGAAAAAAAAAUGUGAAAGAAAAUAAGCACGUCUGGAGGGAACCAAAUCAAAAAGCGACGGCGAACUACG